CUGACCUCGUCUCAGUCCCACUGUAAGUCAAUGGACUGACCUCGUCUCAUCCCACUGUAAGUCAAUGGGCCGCUCACCAUCACGUAUUUGUCCGGGUUCCUGGAGGAGGUUUUAGUGUCAGUUUCUCAAAGAUGGGGAAGCCACUCAAAGCUGAGCUCCUCAUCGGAAGCAGCUUCGCGCCUUCAAACGUUCUGAGGACGAAGUUACCCCCCCCCCCCCCCCCCCCAUGUGGGUCGGCGGGUCCGGCCUCAAAGGCCGACUGCAACGCGCGAUAUAAAUAUUCAGAGAAACCAGGGCUUUUGUCCAUGAUGAGCUCACGCCUCCAGCAGGGACCCCAUUCACAGCUUUAACUCAGAAUGCAGGGGGGGGUAAGACAAGAGGGGGGGUCACUAAAACAACACACCCACUGAAGGACAGAGCGUCGCUCUCCACAACAACUUUGACUGGAAAUGCAACUUGUCUCCCGUUUCUUUUUUGUGUGUAUGUGUGCGUAGCGUAAUGUAAAAGAGAUCUGUCCCCCCUCCACGCCCCGUCCCACCCUUCCUCCCUGUCCUCCCCCUCCUCCCCCUCCUCUCUCGUACUGCUGUUGGCUGUUCUGUUUAGUUCAUGUGACGUGCCAGUAUCCCUCCCCUUUUACCCCCCCCCCUUCAUGGAUCUUUAAGAUGACAACUCUAUGCAGAUGCUGUCUUUUAUAAGUGUGUCAAAAUUUUAAUUUAAAAUAAAAUCUUCAACAAAAAAAACCCUGACAGACAUAUUGAAAUGAAAACAAAAAAUGAAUAAAGAAACGGAUUGUUCAGUGUACUUGGUCUCAUGUCUCCUUUGCUCACACUUUGCUCCUCCAGAGGUUUCAGUCUGUGCAGCAGCUGGAAGGAUUUUAUUGGUAAAUAUCAGUUCAAACCUCGGGAUGAAAAUGAUUCUGUUAUUGAAGUUUUAUUUUUGCAUACAUUUUAGCAUCUUCUUAUUCAUUAAAGCUUUGAAGAAUGACUAAUUGUUUUAUAUGGAUCAUUUUUCCUUAACUUUUCUUUUCUUUAUGUCCUG
ensembl:lncRNA